AAAAAUCUUUAUUUCUGUUAAUGGUAGUAAACCAUAUCUAGAAAAUAAUAAGAGCACAAAAAGAAAGUGAGAAGAUAAGAAGAUUUCAAGGAAGAAUUCUCAAAUCCAAAUAUGAAACCCACUCAUUUUCUCUCUCUAAAACAAACCUCAAACCCACUUUACUCUCUCUUUUUAAAACACAAAUCUCAAACCUACUUUAUUUUUU
rnacentral:lncRNA from 1 species